CUUAAAUUACCAAUUUACAAGUUAGUUGGACGGUAAACGACCGUUAUUUUCACUUUUACUGUCGUUUAAGUACUUUUAGUGGCCCUAAAAGUUGACUUUUUGAUCGGGCCAAAAUUUGAGAAAAUUUCCUUCAUGAAAGUUGUAGAGGACGUUAACCCGAGCGCGUGCAUAUGUGGUGCGUAAAAAUCGGAGUUCGUAUGCGAAAGUUACAAGCGAAAUAGUAAAGUUACUGUUCAUUGGUAGAAAGUAUAAAUUUGAAAAUUUACUGUUGCUGGGUAAUUUCUUUUCUCUCUCCCCUUCCCCGCGUUUUCUCUCUUCUCCCCGAACUGUUGCUCUUUCUCCCUCUCGCCUGCAACUCCGGCCUUCUUCCUCCUCCGGCCACCUGACGACGAAAAGCAAGUAUCUUUGGACUCGUCUCCGCUCCCUCUAGGUGCCUGUGGUGGUGUUUUGCGGUGGCUCGGCCCAAUGAGCUCGGAUUUGAGCUGUGAAGUUCACUGUAGCAAUCCGGAAGUUUCGUCGAUUUCCGGCGAUUCCGGCCAUCUCCGGCCACCAAACCGGCGUCGAAGGAGCGGUUUUUCCCAAGGAUCAUGUUGCCCCUAGCCUUGAGCCACGAUUUGCAGUGUGGAGGUCGAAUCGAAUGUUUGAAAUUCCGAGUUACUAUUCACAAUUCGGGUUCAAACUUCUCUUUAAUUGUUGAGGAUGUCGUACCGGGCUCUGGCUCGAUAAAGGAACUCGUAUACGUGACCGUCGGAAUAGUACUUGUACAGGUGAAAUUAGUUGAGGUCGGGCGUACAUGGUGUCGAGGCAUAGUCAACAGCAUGGCUUCCGC